rnacentral:rRNA from 1 species
GACGAACCGUGCGAACGUUGUUCGGAAUCACUGGGCUUAAAGGGCGCGUAGGCGGGUUCCCAAGUUCGGGGGGAAAUCUUUCGGCUUAACCGGAAAACAGCCUUGAAUACUGGGAGUCUCGAGCGAGGUAGGGGCAGCUGGAACUUCCGGUGGAGCGGUGAAAUGCGUUGAUAUCGGAAGGAACGCCGGUGGCGAAAGCGAGCUGCUGGACCUUUUCUGACGCUGAGGCGCGAAAGCCAGGGGAGCAAACGGG